GAUGAACGCUGGCGGCGUGCUUAACACAUGCAAGUCGAACGGAAAGGCUCUUCCUUGCUGGGGUACUCGAGUGGCGAACGGGUGAGUAGCACGUGGGUGACCUGCCCUGCACUUCGGGAUAAGCUUGGGAAACUGGGUCUAAUACCGGAUAGGACGUCGUUCUGCAUGCCAUUGUGGGAAGAUUUUCGGUGGGGGAUGAUCUCGCGGCCUAUCAGCUUGUUGGUGGGGUAGUGGCCUACCAAGGCGUCGACGGGUAGCCGGCCUGAGAGGGUGUACGGCCACAUUGGGACUGAGAUACGGCCCAGACUCCUACGGGAGGCAGCAGUGGGGAAUAUUGCACAAUGGGCGGAAGCCUGAUGCAGCAACGCCGCGUGGGGGAUGACGGCCUUCGGGUUGUAAACUCCUUUCGCUAGGGACGAAGCGCAAGUGACGGUACCUGGAAAAGAAGCACCGGCUAACUACGUG
rnacentral:rRNA from 1 species